GGAUGGACCUGCGGUCAUUUGGAUGUUUGUAGAGCUCUUGCAAAAAGACCAUGCCAGAAGAGAGGACUUCACAGCUGCAACAUCAUCCUCAAGAUUCCUUCUACCUUUCUGUGGGCAACGGUGGCUCGAACAUUUGCCAGCUGUCGAACGAGCAUUGGAAGUCUGGCCCUCUGUUGUGAAAUAUGUGGACCUUGUGAAGUCAGAAAAGGUGAAAAACCCAGGGACAUCUUCUUUUGACUGCAUUUCUGAAGCCCAAAUGGAUCCCCUUCUUCUGGCCAAACUACAUCUGGUAGCUACACAAAGAUUCUGGAAAUUUGACAAACCAUCUUUUUGUCAGAGACAGUCAGGAGCCAAAGGCAGUGGAAGUGACCUUGGUGUCCUUCAGAUUAAAAAAAACUUGUUUUUUGAACCAGAUUGUGCUCUUGAAAAUCUGCAAAAAGGCCUUGGAUAAAUGCCCUCUGAAGUACUCGAUUGUACAUGAGAUGACGUGCUUGGACCCAAACAAAAUGCACACCAGCCAGAUAACUGCCAGCAGAAAAGGAGAAAUCUCAUGCAGAAGUUUGCGCAGGAGAAUCGGUUGGCAGGCAGGAUAUCUGCUGGUGAUGCAAUAUCCCAGCAGUCUGAUAAUCACCUGCACAAUGAGGCAAAAGGCUUGGAUUUUAUAUCCUUCAUUCCUUCAGCACCAUCCAAAGUUGAUGUCUUUUUCCAUCAAAAAGUUAGUGGGCCUUAUCCUGACCUCUGGAUGUUCUGCAAGAACUUGCUGCUACUGUCCUAUGGGCAAGUCGAAGUGGAACGAAUAGAGGUGGAGACCUGCAACUUAUCAGAGGAAACAGUUGUUGCACAGAGGCUUAUAUGCGACCAUGUCAGAGUGUGUGGGGGAGCAACCAAAGCGCCUCUGACCAAAGGUGAAAGAUGAGCAAAAAGCAAAAAAGAAAACUUGAGGAACUCAAGAGGAAGAGAGUCUCACUGGAAAGUGUAUGUGAGAGUUUACAAAAGGAUGCUGAGCACAUGGCAGAGGAAGCAGAGAGUGCUGCUGGAACCAAAAGGGCAACAUUACUUACCAAGUCCAAUACUCUGAGGCGACGAGCGAAGGAGGAGAAAGAGCAGUUGGUGGUCUUAAAGGCAGAUACUGAAGAGUGGGCUACUGCACUGCGACUCCUAGCACAU